rnacentral:rRNA from 1 species
AAUUUUGGACAAUGGGGGAAACCCUGAUCCAGCAAUGCCGCGUGCAGGAUGAAGGCCUUCGGGUUGUAAACUGCUUUUGUACGGAACGAAAAGUCUUGGGCUAAUACCUUGGGCUCAUGCCGGUACCGCAAGAAUAAGCACCGGCUACCUACGUUCCAGCAUCCGCGGUAAUACGUAGGGUUCAAGCGUUAAUCGGAAUUACCGGGCGUAAAGCGUGCGCAGGCGGUUUUGUAAGACAGUGGUGAAAUCCCCGGGCUCAACCUGGGAACUGCCAUUGUGACUGCAAGGCUGGAGUGCGGCAGAGGGGGAUGGAAUUCCGCGGGUAGCAGCGAAAUGCGUAGAUAUGCGGAGGAACACCGAUGGCGAAGGCAAUCCCCUGGGCCUGCACUGACGCUCAUGCACGAAAGCGUGGGGAGCAAACAGG